UACGUAGGGUGCAAGCGUUGUUCGGAAUCAUUGGGCGUAAAGCGCGUGUAGGCUGUUCGGAAAGUCGGGUGUGAAAGCCCUGGGCUCAACCUAGGAAGUGCACUCGAAACUCCCGAACUGGAGUCCCGGAGAGGAAGGCGGAAUUCUCGGUGUAGAGGUGAAAUUCGUAGAUAUCGAGAGGAACAUCGGUGGCGAAGGCGGCCUUCUGGACGGUGACUGACGCUGAGACGCGAAAGCGUGGGGAGCGAACCGG
rnacentral:rRNA from 1 species